UGGGGAUUUUCGAGCCUUUUAGAGCAAUUGGAUACAUUACAACCAAUGUUCCUUUCUCUGUACAGAGACUUGGUACUGAAACCUUCGUCACCGUCAGUGUCGGCAAAGCUUUUCAAGUUUACAACUGCGCUAAACUCAGUUUGGUUCUCGUUGGCCCACAAUUGCCAAAGAAGAUUCGAGCUCUUGCUUCUUAUCGUGAAUAUACUUUUGCUGCCUAUGGGAGUGACAUUGCAGUUGUCAAGCGUGCUCAUCAGGUGGCAACAUGGAGUGGACAUAGUGCUAAGGUGAACCAAUUGCUUAUUUUUGGUGAACACGUCCUAAGUGUUGAUGUUGAAGGCAAUAUCUUCAUAUGGCAAUUUAAAGGUAUAGACAAAAAUCUUGCUCCGAUCGGACACAUAAAGUUAGAGGACGAAUUCUCCCCUAGCUGCAUAAUGCAUCCAGAUACUUAUUUAAAUAAGGUAUGAAUUUUCUAUUUUUCACUUUUGAGUAACACAAUAACUGAAGCAUGGGGUUUGUGACAAUGGUUAAUACA
rnacentral:misc_RNA from 1 species